rnacentral:rRNA from 1 species
UGGGGAUAUUGCACAAUGGGCGAAAGCCUGAUGCAGCGACGCCGCGUGAGGGAAGACGGUUUUCGGAUUGUAAACCUCUGUCUUCGGGGACGAAAAUGACGGUACCCGAGGAGGAAGCCACGGCUAACUACGUGCCAGCAGCCGCGGUAAUACGUAGGUGGCAAGCGUUGUCCGGAAUUACUGGGUGUAAAGGGAGAGUAGGCGGGAUUGCAAGUCCGUUGUUAAAUCUAUCGGCUUAACCGGUAGCUGCGGCGGAAACUGUAGUUCUUGAGUAUCGGAGAGGCAAUCGGAAUUCCUAGUGUAGCGGUGAAAUGCGUAGAUAUUAGGAGGAACACCAGUGGCGAAGGCGGAUUGCUGGACGACAACUGACGGUGAGGCGCGAAAGCGUGGGGAGCAAACAGGAUUAGAUACCCUGGUAGU